AACGAACGCUGGCGGCAUGCCUAACACAUGCAAGUCGAACGAGACCUUCGGGUCUAGUGGCGCACGGGUGCGUAACGCGUGGGAACCUGCCCUUAGGUUCGGAAUAACUCCCCGAAAGGGGUGCUAAUACCGGAUAAUGUCUUCGGACCAAAGAUUUAUCGCCUUUGGAUGGGCCCGCGUUGGAUUAGCUAGUUGGUAGGGUAAAAGCCUACCAAGGCGACGAUCCAUAGCUGGCCUGAGAGGAUGAUCAGCCACACUGGGACUGAGACACGGCCCAGACUCCUACGGGAAGCAGCAGUGGGGAAUAUUGGACAAUGGGCGAAAGCCUGAUCCAGCAAUGCCGCGUGAGUGAUGAAGGCCUUAGGGUUGUAAAGCUCUUUUACCCGGGAUGAUAACGUCAGUACCGGGAGAAUAAGCUCCGGCUAACUCCGUG
rnacentral:rRNA from 1 species